GUUUAGGAGAACUACUGUGCUU
rnacentral:miRNA from 1 species